rnacentral:rRNA from 1 species
UACGUAGGGGGCAAGCGUUGUCCGGAUUUAUUGGGCGUAAAGAGCGUGUAGGCGGCUAGGUAGGUCCGUUGUGAAAACUCGAGGCUCAACCUCGAGACGCCGAUGGAAACCAUCUAGCUAGAGUCCGGAAGAGGAGAGUGGAAUUCCUGGUGUAGCGGUGAAAUGCGCAGAUAUCAGGAAGAACACCCGUGGCUAAGGCGGCUCUCUAGUACGGUACUGACGCUGAGACGCGAAAGCGUGGGGGAGCGAACAGG